GGUCUCGUAAUGUACCGGUUAACACGCCUGCCUGUCACGCAGGAGAUCGCGGGUUCGAUUCCCGUCGAGACCGCCA
rnacentral:tRNA from 1 species